rnacentral:lncRNA from 1 species
CUUAUAUCAAAACAAAUCCGAAAUUAUCAAAAACAAAAAAAGUAUAAGCAAACAUUAAACCUAAAAAAAUAACUUUUAUAUUGUUUUCUUCAUAACAUUGCUCCUUAGCUUGCUUUAUCUUGCUUUAUUCCAUGUAGUGUUGCAUAACUUAUCUUUUCCUUCUAAUAUUUUUUCAUUUUAUUCGCUUUAGCUCCUGUGUUCCCAUAAGUGCUAUAUAUAUUAUAAAAAAUAGUGUCCAAAACCAAUCAGGUCCUGCAAUUAAUGAAAUGGACAGAAACUAAGAGUUUAUCAUGCAGUUGUUAUUAAACUAAAUAAGCUUCAAUUAAUAGAAAACACAAGCAUGAGAUUAUUACAAUAGUUUCAUACCUUCUUAAUCCAUUGGGACCUUUGCAAAGAAGGACUUGUGGAGAUAAUCACGAACAUCACCAAGUAAUAAACUACUUUGUCAACCUAAAACCUGUGAAGUUUGAAGAGAUCAUGAGAUGGGCAAAUGUUUAUCAAGGGAUGUAGGCAACGUUUUCUAUAAUCAAAAGAAAAAACAGAAACCAUGGCUUAGUAUAACCAAAAUAAAGGAAAUACAUGUCAAGCUAGAACCCAAAACCUAAAUAACAUCACUAUUUCAUUCAAGACCUUAUCCAUUUUCAUCUAGCUCUAAAUACCCUUUUUCAAACCAUGCAGAACACAUAUCAAAGAGAUUGUUAAAAAUCAUAUAUGAUUCGUCGUAGUAUUUAUAUGUUUUUUUCCUUAAAC